GACGAACGCUGGCGGCGUGCUUAACACAUGCAAGUCGAACGCUGAAGCUCAGCUUUUGUCGGGUGGAUGAGUGGCGAACGGGUGAGUAACACGUGAGUAACCUGCCCCCUUCUUUGGGAUAACGCCCGGAAACGGGUGCUAAUACUGGAUAUUCACUGGUCUUCGCAUGGGGGUUGGUGGAAAGGGUUUUUCUGGUGGGGGAUGGGCUCGCGGCCUAUCAGCUUGUUGGUGGGGUGAUGGCCUACCAAGGCUUUGACGGGUAGCCGGCCUGAGAGGGUGACCGGUCACAUUGGGACUGAGAUACGGCCCAGACUCCUACGGGAGGCAGCAGUGGGGACUAUUGCACAAUGGGCGCAAGCCUGAUGCAGCGAUGCCGCGUGAGGGAUGGAGGCCUUCGGGUUGUGAACCUCUUUCGCUCAUGGUCAAGCCGCAACAAUGGUUGUGGUGAGGGUAGUGGGUAAAGAAGCGCCGGCUAACUACGUG
rnacentral:rRNA from 1 species